rnacentral:rRNA from 1 species
GACGAACGCUGGCGGCGUGCUUAACACAUGCAAGUCGAGCGGAAAGGCCCUUCGGGGUACUCGAGCGGCGAACGGGUGAGUAACACGUGAGUAACCUGCCCCAGACUUUGGGAUAACCCUCGGAAACGGGGGCUAAUACCGGAUACGACACUUCAUCGCAUGGUGUGAGUGUGGAAAGUUUUUCGGUUUGGGUAUGGGCUCGCGGCCUAUCAGCUUGUUGGUGGGGUGGAUGGCCUACCAAGGCGACGACGGGUAGCCGGCCUGAGAGGGCGACCGGCCACACUGGGACUGAGACACGGCCCAGACUCCUACGGGAGGCAGCAGUGGGGAAUAUUGCACAAUGGGCGGAAGCCUGAUGCAGCGACGCCGCGUGAGGGAUGACGGCCUU